GUGUACAGUUGCCUCAGUUACUUGGGAAAUCAAAGAUCUCAUCCGCCAAGGCCAGGAAUCUGAACCUGCUCCUGACUCCAUCCCUCACAAGAAGGUCUAUGUCCCUACGUCUGUCCGAGCCCGCCUAAUUCAUUGGAUCCACUCUGUUAAAUUCUCAGCAACAUUGCUUUUGUCAACCGAGGUUCUGGUGGCCCUCGGUACACAAAGAUGUUAAAGAAUACAUCCUCUCCUGUCCUGUCUGUGCAAGAAAUAAAUCUUAUCAAUCUCCAUCUGGUCUCCUGCAACCCCUUUCCAUCCUUAAGCGGCUUUGGUCACAUAUCUCCAUCAACUUUAUCUCCGGACUCCCCAUAUCAAAAGGUAUGACCACCAUCUUAACCAUUGUUGACCUUUUCUCUAAAUCAUGCCAUCUCCUUCCACUCAGAAAACUUCCCACAGCUUUCCAGAUUGCUUUACUCCUUGUCAAACAUGUUUUCCAACUACAUGUCAUCCUUCAAGAGAUCCCCUCCAACCGUGGUCCACAAUUCACAUCCCAGAUUUGAUGAUGAUGAUGA